CGCGAGAGCAAGCGGACCUCAUAAAGUAUGUCGUAGUCCGGAUUGGAGUCUGCAACUCGACUCCAUGAAGUCGGAAUCGCUAGUAAUCGUAGAUCAGAAUGCUACGGUGAAUACGUUCCCGGGCCUUGUACACACCGCCCGUCACACCAUGGGAGUGGGUUGCAAAAGAAGUAGGUAGCUUAACCUUCGGGAGGGCGCUUACCACUUUGUGAUUCAUGACUGGGGUGAAGUCGUAACAAGGUAACCGUAGGGGAACCUGCGGUUGGAUCACCUCCUUACCUUAAAGAA
rnacentral:rRNA from 3 species